AACGUAGGACACAAGCGUUAUCCGGAGUUACUGGGCGUAAAGGGCGUGUAGGCGGAUCGGUAAGUCUACUCUGAAAGCUCCUGGCUAAACUGGGAGAGGCGAGUGGAGACUGUCGGUCUAGAGUGAGGAAGAGGAAAGUGGAAUUCCGCGUGUAGUGGUGAAAUUCGUAGAUAUUGGGAAGAACACCGGUGGCGAAGGCGGCUCACUGGCUCAUUACUGACG
rnacentral:rRNA from 1 species